CUCUUCUUGGGGCUCUGCUAGCCUUUGGAAAGGGUUGUAAUAUCAAAAGAACAGAUGACCUGAUCAGCAGCAGAUUCCCAGUGCUUUUUACGCUUACAUAUGAUCCUACAUAAAGCAGUUUCAAGACUGUAAUUCAACAAUCACUUGAAUCUUCUACUAUACUUCGCUAUUUGUUAAGCCACCAUUACACGAUGACAUGAAAUUACAGAUGGAAAGGAAAAGAUUUAUGUAUAUUUGCUUGUGAAGACUGUACACGUAAACAAAGUGAAUUUAUCAUUUCUUUUGGUGAGUAUUUUCUGCCUCCAGACAAAAAGCUAAAGAUUUUAUAUAUACAUUUGAAUGUGGUGGUGGUGUUGCUUACUUGUUUUUAUGGAUCCAGAACGUACAUAAAUAACGUAUAAUAAAUUAAACAGAAAACAAACAAAAGUUACAAGAGAUAUAGUUAAAUAAUAUUUGGAAGCAUAAAUAUUAGUUCUUUCUUUCACUCUAGGGAACAGCUUGAUCAGUAAUACAAAUGUUAUUUACUCAUCUAUACUCUAC